AGAGUUUGAUCCUGGCUCAGAACGUACGCUGGCGGCACGCCUAACACAUGCAAGUCGAACGAAGUAGCAAUACUUAGUGGCAGACGGGUGAGUAACAUGUGGGUAUCUGCCCUUUGGCCUGGAAUAACACGAGGAAACUUGUGCUAAUACCGGAUAAGUCUUUACGGAGAAAGCUUUAUGCACCAUUGGAUGAGCCCGCACUUGAUUAGUUUGUUGGUGGGGUAAUGGCCUACCAAGACUGUGAUCAAUAGCUGAUUUGAGAGGAUGAUCAGCCACAUUGGGACUGAGACACGGCCCAAACUCCUACGGGAGGCAGCAGUGGGGAAUCUUGCACAAUGGAGGAAACUCUGAUGCAGCGAUGCCGCGUGAGUGAAGAAGGCCUUUGGGUUGUAAAGCUCUUUCGUCGGGGAAGAAAAUGACUGUACUCGAAUAAGAAGGUCCGGCUAACUUCGUGCCAGCAGCCGCGGUAAUACGAAGGGACCUAGCGUAGUUCGGAAUUACUGGGCUUAAAGAGUUCGUAGGUGGUUGAAAAAGUUGGUGGUGAAAUCCCAGAGCUUAACUCUGGAACUGCCAUUAAAACUUUUCAGCUAGAGUAUGAUAGAGGAAAGCAGAAUUUCUAGUGUAGAGGUGAAAUUCGUAGAUAUUAGAAAGAAUACCAAUUGCGAAGGCAGCUUUCUGGAUCAUUACUGACACUGAGGAACGAAAGCAUGGGUAGCGAAGAGGAUUAGAUACCCUCGUAGUCCAUGCCGUAAACGAUGUGUGUUAGACGUUGGAAAUUUAUUUUCAGUGUCGCAGGGAAACCGAUAAACACACCGCCUGGGGAGUACGACCGCAAGGUUAAAACUCAAAUGAAUUGACGGGGACCCGCACAAGUAGUGGAGCAUGUGGUUUAAUUCGAAGAUACGCGCAGAACCUUACCAACACUUGACAUGUUCGUCGCGACUCUGAGAGAUCAGAGUUUUCGGUUCGGCCGGACGAAACACAGGUGCUGCAUGGCUGUCGUCAGCUCGUGUCGUGAGAUGUUGGGUUAAGUCCCGCAACGAGCGCAACCCUCACUUUUAGUUGCCAUCAUUAAGUUGGGCACUCUGAAAGAACUGCCAGUGAUAAGCUGGAGGAAGGUGGGGAUGACGUCAAGUCCUCAUGGCCCUUACGUGUUGGGCUACACACGUGCUACAAUGGUAUCUACAACAGGAAGCAAGACGGCGACGUUAAGCAAAUCCCGAAAAGAUGCCUCAGUUCGGAUUGCACUCUGCAACUCGAGUGCAUGAAGCUGGAAUUACUAGUAAUCGUGGAUCAGCGUGCCACGGUGAAUGCGUUCCCGGGUCUUGUACACACCGCCCGUCACACCAUGGGAGUUGGUUCUACCUUAAGGCAAGGUUUCAAACCCUUGACCACGGUAUAGUCAGCGACUGGGGUGAAGUCGUAACAAGGUA
rnacentral:rRNA from 1 species